rnacentral:rRNA from 1 species
GCAUCCAUGUCUUGUAAUUGGAAUGAGUAGAAUUUAAAUCCCUUAUCGAGUAUCAAUUGGAGGGCAAGUCUGGUGCCAGCAGCCGCGGUAAUUCCAGCUCCAAUAGCGUAUAUUAAAGUUGUUGCAGUUAAAAAGCUCGUAGUUGGAUUUCUGGUGGGAGCGAUCGGUCUGGCGCUUAGCGCGAGUACUUGCAUCGUCUCCGGCCAUCCUUGGGGAGAGUUUGUCUGGCAUUAAGUUGUCGGGCAGAGGAUCCUCAUCGUUUACUGUGAAAAAAUUAGAGUGUUCAAAGCAAGCUAAAGCUCUGAAUACAUUAGCAUGGAAUAACGCGAGAGGACUCGGUCCUUAUUUUGUUGGUCUUCAAGGAUGGAGUAAUGAUUAAGAGGGACAGUUGGGGGCAUUCGUAUUUCAUUGCUAGAGGUGAAAUUCUUGGAUUUAUGAAAGACGAACUUCUGCGAAAGCAUUUGCCAAGGGAUGUUUUCAUUGAUCAANAACGAAAGUUG